rnacentral:rRNA from 1 species
UACGGAGGGUGCAAGCGUUAUCCGGAUUCACUGGGUUUAAAGGGUGCGUAGGUGGGCAGGUAAGUCAGUGGUGAAAUCUCUGGGCUUAACCCGGAAACUGCCGUUGAUACUAUCUGUCUUGAAUAUCGUGGAGGUAAGCGGAAUAUGUCAUGUAGCGGUGAAAUGCUUAGAUAUGACAUAGAACACCGAUUGCGAAGGCAGCUUACUACACGAUCAUUGACGCUGAGGCACGAAAGCGUGGGGAGCAAACAGG